GAUGAACGCUGGCGGCGUGCCUAACACAUGCAAGUCGAGCGAACGGACCAGAAGCUUGUUUCUCUGGUGUUGGCGGCGGGAGUAAGAGUAAAAAAUGUGUAACCUACAUAUAAAACUGGGAUAACUUCGGGAAACCGUAGCUAAUACCGGGUAAUAUUUUGAGCCGCAUGGUCCAAAAGUGAAAGACGGUCUUGCUGUCCCUGAUAGAUGGGUCCGCGCUGCAUUAGCUAGUGGGUAAGGUAACGGCUUACCAAGGCAACGAUGCAUAGCCGACCAGAGAGAGGGAUCGGCGACACUGGAAGGGGGUGACGGUCCAGACUCCGACGGGAAGAAGCAGUAGGGUACCUUCGGAAAUAGCAGAAAGCCUGACGGAGCAACGCGGAGUGGGUGAUGAAGGUCUUGGGAUCGUAAAACUGUGUGAUUAGGGAAGAACAUAUGUGUAUGUAACUGUGGACACAAUGACGGCACCUAAUCAGAAAGCCACGGCUAACUCCGUG
rnacentral:rRNA from 1 species